UCGAUUCCUAGCGGCGCCGCUGUACACUGCCCCAAAUCUCGUUUCUCAUCUAAUCCCCUCACCAAGCCUUCCUCUCAUCUUAUCCAUUAGAGGUCGCAUCCUUCAGGUCGUUGCUGCAGCUACUGCUAGAUGUCAUUGCUGUGAGAUUGCUGUUGUUCCCGGUGCCUCUUCUCGCCAUGGUCGCUGCCGUGUGGAGGCUGCUCCCGUUCCCCUGUUCCCUGCGUCGUCAUGGUUGUCGCCGCUGCCGCCUUUGGCCAAUACCGGGUGUGGGUACUUCUGGUUCGAGAUCAAUUGACUCACACUUUGUGCCCCGCGGUUGAGGCAAGUUCAUGGAGGGAUAAUGAUUUUGCAUAUUCCCUAACCGCCAUUUUUAUUUAUGAUAUUCGCCCCAUGUCACUGAUGCUUAUUACUAUGGAGAUGAUGAUGACCAUGCUGAUUCAAGUACUUGCUUGUAUUUGCAUAUUUGCACUCAUGAUGAUAAUGAAAGAAAGAGUGCCCUGCCUCAGGUAGGCACAUUGAGACCUCCAUUGUUGGGUUGUGACCUACUUUGGAGGCAACCUUCCAAUGUUGGAGUGAGUGAAUGUCGACGGGCGUCCACUCAAGCGAUACCGGUAAAUUCUGAGGAAGACAUGCAUGGGAGUCUUGGGAGUAGCAUCAUCACCGUUUUUACCAUACAGAACUCACACAUAUUGUCCCUUAGGACCGUGUUUUGAGAACCUAGUACAGUUUGUACCUUACUUCACGUGGGAUUUGCCUUGAGUUUGAGAGUUACUCUCUUGGUCUGUAUGGCUUAACUAAUUUCCAUUUAAGACUACCGUUAUUCGCCUAGAGUUAUCGAGGUUGUUCUCGGAUAUGGUAUUGUAGCCUUGUGCUUUACACUGGUGCUA